UUUUACAUGAGAGUUUGAUCCUGGCUCAGGACGAACGCUGGCGGCGUGCCUAAUACAUGCAAGUCGAACGGUCUUUUCUAUGGAAGCUUGCUUCCGCUGAGAAGAUAGUGGCGAACGGGUGAGUAACACGUGGGUAACCUGCCCAUAAGAGGGGGAUAACAUCCGGAAACGGGUGCUAAUACCGCAUAGGUUUCUUGGUC
rnacentral:rRNA from 1 species